UACGAAGGUGGCAAGCGUUGUUCGGAUUUACUGGGCGUACAGGGAGCGUAGGCGGUUGGAUAAGCCCUCCGUGAAAUCUCCAGGCUUAACCUGGAAAGUGCAGAGGGGACUGUUCAGCUAGAGGAUGGGAGAGGAGCGCGGAAUUCCCGGUGUAGCGGUGAAAUGCGUAGAUAUCGAGAGGAACACCGGUGGCGAAGGCGGCCUUCUGGACAGUGACUGACGCUGAGACGCGAAAGCGUGGGGAGCAAACAGG
rnacentral:rRNA from 1 species